GAUGAACGCUGGCGGCGUGCCUAAUACAUGCAAGUCGAGCGAACAGACGAGGAGCUUGCUCCUCUGACGUUAGCGGCGGACGGGUGAGUAACACGUGGAUAACCUACCUAUAAGACUGGGAUAACUUCGGGAAACCGGAGCUAAUACCGGAUAAUAUAUUGAACCGCAUGGUUCAAUAGUGAAAGACGGUUUUGCUUCCACUAAUAGAUGGAUCCGCGCCGCAUUAGCUAGUUGGUAAGGUAACGGCUUACCAAGGCAACGAUGCGUAGCCGACCUGAGAGGGUGAUCGGCCACACUGGAACUGAGACACGGUCCAGACUCCUACGGGAGGCAGCAGUAGGGAAUCUUCCGCAAUGGGCGAAAGCCUGACGGAGCAACGCCGCGUGAGUGAUGAAGGUCUUCGGAUCGUAAAACUCUGUUAUUAGGGAAGAACAAAUGUGUAAGUAACUAUGCACGUCUUGACGGUACCUAAUCAGAAAGCCACGGCUAACUACGUG
rnacentral:rRNA from 1 species